AGGAAGCUCCUGCCCUUCUCCUCCAACACCAAAGCCCAGCAUGCCUGCAGUGCUCUCCUCUGGGGAGACAAUGGGGACAGGGCCACCAGCACCAACAAGAAGGCCACCACAGUGCCGGUGACCUGUAUGCUGAGGACCAGAGGCGUGAAGAAAACAGCACAACGUGCCCCAAGAUCUCUCCAAAUGUCCCGGUGUCAGAAAGGCAAUAAAAGGUUCUGCUUUAAAUAUGA